rnacentral:pre_miRNA from 1 species
AAUUUUGGGACGGAAAUAAAAAUCCGUAGCUAAAUUUAGCUACGGAUUUUGAAAUCUGUAGCUAAAUUUAGCUACGGAUUUUGAAAUCCGUAGCUAAAUUUAGCUACGGAUUUUAGUUUCCGUCCCUAAAUUU